rnacentral:rRNA from 1 species
GACGAACGCUGGCGGCGUGCCUAAUACAUGCAAGUCGAACGCAGUGGGGACGGGUGAGUAACACGUGGGUAACCUCCCAUCAGAGGGGAUAACACUUGGAAACAGGUGCUAAAACGAUACUGAUGGAUGGAACCGCUGGGCAUUAGCUAGUUGGUGAGGUAACGGCCCACCAAGGACACGAUGCAUAGCCGACCUGAGAGGGGGAUCGGCCACACUGGGACUGAGACACGGCCCAUCCUCCUACGGGAGGCAGAAGUAGUGAAUCUUCGGCAAUGGACGAAAGUCUGACCUAGCAACGCCGCGUGAGUGAAGAAGGUUUUCGGAGCGUAAACCUCUGUUGUUAGAGAAGCGGUAUCUAACCAGAAAGCCACGGCUAACUACGUGCCAGCCGCCGCGGUAAUUC